AGUACAUGCCCCUGACCGGAAACGAACUCCGAACCCUCCAGUCGCUGAGCCAAACCGGCUAGGGCAAUACUGAUAUUUCUGACUCUAAUCCAGCCCCAAAAGGUUCAUUCGCACCUUCCCUCCUUGCUUUCUUUGUAACUUCUUUCUCUGACAAUAAAAAACUUGGCUCAGUGGGCACUUUUUUGGGCUCACGUAUUGACCAUCUUGGCAAAAACUGGCAGUGUUAGAAACCACUCCCUUCUAGAAAACACUC